UUACGGCCACAUCACAUUGAAACACCGGCUCCUGUACGAUCAGCGAAGUUAAGAAACACCCACCUUGGUCAGUACCAAGAUGGGUGACCACUUGGGAAUAUCAAGUUCUGUAAG